AUUCCAGCUCCAAUAGCGUAUAUUAAAGUUGUUGCAGUUAAAAAGCUCGUAGUUGGAGUUCAGAGUGAGCUCAGCUGGUCGGCCUAAUGGGUCAGAACUGGUUGACUCUCUCUUGUUUGUGGGUCUCGCCCGGAGUUAACUCUUCGGAUGUGGAUCCCACAUCGUUUACCUUGAAAAAAUUAGAGUGUUCAAAGCAGGCGUUUGCUUGAAUAUAUUAGCAUGGAAUAAUGGAAUAGGACGCUGGUUCUAUUUUGUUGGUUUUGAGAACCAGAGUAAUGAUUAAUAGGGACAGUUGGGGGCAUUCAUAUUUCAUUGUCAGAGGUGAAAUUCUUGGAUUUAUGAAAGAUGAACUUCUGCGAAAGCAUUUGCCAAGGAUGUUUUCAUCG
rnacentral:rRNA from 1 species